UCCCACGUCUAGGGAUUAUACGGUCUGUGGAGACCUGCUGCUAGGGCAGCCACCCAGCAGGCCAUCGAGCCAUCAAGGAGGCUGUCCAUCUCAUGGUGAACGAAUCGUGGGAACCCCAAAAUGGUUGGUUGACCAUGUCCAGAGCUCAAAACGGAUCAGUUGUAAAACCAGACCAAACGCCGCUGAUAUGGGAAAGAAGUAAAUGGUAGAUUGCUCUUAAUAGGCUGCAAUGAAUGGAACAAGCAAUCUAUGGCCACCUGACUUCACCUUGCCUAGGGUCGGCAAUUCAUUCCAAAGUGGAAAUUGAACCCAUGGCCACUUUCGCGUCGCGACUAAGACCGCUCAGUGAAAUUAACCCCUGGUAUUACGGUCUCGUCCAGGGAUUGAACCAGAUCUCAGCCUUAUUUGAAUUGCUUGUGGCCUCUGAGACCGUAGGGUUCCUCUCAACCCUAAUAAGCCUUCAACGUUGUGGGUGAUAAUUGUAGAGUGAAUUUGGGAACAGGCCUAUCCAAAAAGGCUCCGAACAGCUUAAAAACAUUCCAUAAACGCACAAACAGAUGACAAAGCGCCCAACUAGCUCAUGCUCGAAAUAGAAACCAAACGAUUGAAAGCUAAAUUUGUUUCCCAGUUUAAUAAGGAUUAUUCAACGACUCCCUCCAACCCAAGAAUCUCAGGCAGAGGUGAUUAGAAAUGAAGGGAAACAAGUUCUGAUCAUGGUUUUCAAUGUUAUCCCAUAGUAUGUGGUUUAUAUAAUGUGGGACCCAUACUGAUCUGCUAAUGCCUGUAAUAAUGGCUGGACGACCACAACGUGAAAUUGGUUACCCUGUGAGUAGGGUGGUAACCCAAAGUGCCGAACGGUACUUCAUAAUCAGUACUGCUUAUAAGCUCGAAUUGGCCGCUACCUUGUUUGUUUGCUUAUUUGUUCAGAAUUUAAAGAUUUUGCCUUUUUGGUUUGGUUUUUCACGAGCUUUUCGAACCGCUACAGGGAAUGUGAUCCCCAGUACUAUUAAAAUGAAAGGUUAUAAUUCGUUUGCUUAUUUGUUUGGAAUUUUAGAGUGUUUGUUUAGAUUUAAAUAAGACAAAGGAGCUGUUUCAACUUUUCUGGCCCAUAAAAGAAGUAAUGGACAUUUUCUAAAAUCAAGCCCGAUUUUUCAGCAUCACAAAUGAUUUGAAAACAAGUAGAUGUUCUUAACUCUAUUUCACUCCCUUACAUGGUUCAGUUUCAAUGAACUGAUUAGGAAACUUGGCACAUUUAUUUGUGGCAGGAAAUUGAAAGAGUGAUAAAGGGAGCAUUCACUUAUUGUCUAUUUUUGUUCACAUCAUGAAACAAUUUUUAUUAGCUCAACCUGUGAUUAAACUAGAGCUCUCCUUCAAAACAAGGAAUAAAAGAGGAUGCAUGGAUAAAGAAAAUAAAAAGUAUCAAACAA